rnacentral:rRNA from 1 species
GACGGACGCUGGCGGCGUGCCUAAUACAUGCAAGUUGAGCGAUGAAGCUUGGUGCUUGCACCAAUUUGAAGAGCAGCGAACGGGUGAGUAACGCGUGGGGAAUCUGCCUUUGAGCGGGGGACAACAUUUGGAAACGAAUGCUAAUACCGCAUAACAACUUUAAACAUAAGUUUUAAGUUUGAAAGAUGCAAUUGCAUCACUCAAAGAUGAUCCCGCGUUGUAUUAGCUAGUUGGUGAGGUAAAGGCUCACCAAGGCGAUGAUACAUAGCCGACCUGAGAGGGUGAUCGGCCACAUUGGGACUGAGACACGGCCCAAACUCCUACGGGAGGCAGCAGUAGGGAAUCUUCGGCAAGGGACGAAAGUCUGACCGAGCAACGCCGCGUGAGUGAAGAAGGGUGUCGGAUCGUAAAACUCGGUUGGUAGAGAAGAACGUUGGUGAGAGUGGAAAGCUCAUCAAGUGACGGUAACUACCCAGAAAGGGACGGCUAACUACGUG